AUACGGAGGGUCCGAGCGUUAAUCGGAAUUACUGGGCGUAAAGCGCGCGUAGGUGGAUGUAUAGGUCAGAUGUGAAAGCCCUGGGCUCAACCUAGGAACUGCAUUUGAAACUGUACGUCUAGAGUAUGGUAGAGGUGAGUGGAAUUUCAGGUGUAGCGGUGAAAUGCGUAGAGAUCUGAAGGAACAUCAGUGGCGAAGGCGACUCACUGGGCCAUUACUGACACUGAGGUGCGAAAGCGUGGGUAGCAAACAGGAUUAGAAACCCUAGUAGUCC
rnacentral:rRNA from 1 species